rnacentral:rRNA from 1 species
AAGAACUAACUAGAUUCCUUAGUAGCUGCGAGCGAAGAGGGAGAAGCCCAGCACCGAAUCUCGCGUUCGAUAUCGGACGCCGAGAAAUGUGGUGUUAGGGAGGGUCCGUUAUCUCGCUGCGUUACGUUGCGUCCAAGUCCUUCUUGAACGGGGCCACAACCCACAGAGGGUGCCAGGCCCGUAGCGACCUUCGUACGCGGCGAGAGGAUCUCUCCUCAGAGUCGGGUUGCUUGAGAGUGCAGCCCUAAGUGGGUGGUAAACUCCAUCUAAGGCUAAAUAUGACCACGAGACCGAUAGCGAACAAGUACCGUGAGGGAAAGUUGAAAAGCACUUUGAAGAGAGAGUUAAAAAGUACGUGAAACCGUUUUGGUGCAAACCUGAGAAACCCGAAAGUUCGAAUGGGGAAAUUCAUUCGCGUUUCGGCCGGCGGCGUUAGGCGAUCGUUGCGACGCUACGUUUCUUCUCUUUCGGGAGAAAGACCACCGCGCGCCCUUCGUCUUUCGAUAGACCCGCCGUCGAACGCGUGCACUUUUCCCCUAGUAGGACGUCGUGAUCCGUUGGGCGUCGGUCUAAGACUUGUGCGGUGGAGCCCGUGAAAUCGGCGCGUGCCCUCGUGGUGCGUCGUCGAGACUUUCGCGGACCCGUCUCGUUUCUGGCCGACACGCUCGACGGUAGACGAAAGGCGCGAGGCCGCUAUCUCUAAUACAGUUAGCGUCCGGCCCGUCGCAAGCGCGCCCGGCCAGUCGGCGAUCGGACCUAGUGCCGGUUCCGACACCGCGGUGACUGUUGGCGACGGUGUCCUCGGACAGACCUCGUGAAACGCCGAUCGACGACGCUUUAGUUUGGG